UUUUAGCCCAGACAGCAGUGAAAAUCCUUUUCUUUUUUCCUUUAAAAAAGAAAAGAUUGCAACGGAUGGCGGGAAAUAGC
rnacentral:sRNA from 1 species